rnacentral:lncRNA from 1 species
GAUCAUAAAUAGAGCUAAUAGUCGAAAAAUACACGAACUUUCACCGAAUUUACACAUUGCACAUGACCUUCAAAAAUAGCCUCUGAAUACACCACCUUUUAAUUUAAUUGCAAAUUGCACACGGCGAAAAUUUCGAUUACUUUUAAGUUUGACCGGCGAUGAGGUGGACAAUAUUUCACAUAUAUAGCAUUACACGUGGAUUUUUUUACACGUGUGGCUCUACAAUACACACUUUUUUUGACAUGGCAUUACUCUUAAUAUUAAAAAAAAACAAAAAACACAAAAUUGAAAAUAAAAAAUUGAAGAAGCCGGAAACCCAAAACCCCUUUUUCCAAAAUCUCGCUCCAGCCUCUCACCUCCGCGACAGAUCCGCCUUUGCGGCCCUAACCUCCGGCGCCGCCUCUGACCUCCGACCAUUUAUUCUCUCGCUCAAACUCAGGUGGAAAUCUUCUUCUAAAUCGAGCCCUAGGUCUCUCUCG